AUAAUAUAUUGUUAAUUUCAGUAGUACAAUGCGGUUAAGAUUAGAUCAUGAUUGUAGCUUCCUAAAGCUGUUGUUUUGAAAGAGAAAAAUAUAAACAAAACCGUUUUAGGAAGCUACAAACAUGUAAAAUGAUCUACUAUCAAUAAUAUACUCAUUAUUGCUUUAUUCCAAUUUGCAAGAAAAGAUAAUGCAAAUUUUAUUAGUAGUGCCUCAAAAUACUACUGCGCACAAGUAUUGCUGCAAGUUUCAACAUACAAAUACACAAAUAUUUUGAGUUAUGAAGAAUGCACCUUAGUGAUAACUACUUCAAACUGUAUUCAUUCUGUACAUUUUGUUAGUGUUGCAAAGUUUAAAUUAACGAUCCGGGCAAUCAAUAAAUACUCCUGGUACGCAGAACAAUAGCCGGGAAUGGGUAUGAAACCGUUGCAAUCUGAUGGUUGAAUAAACCACAUGGGCAAGAUUCAAACAAUGCACGUUAACUCAAAUGAAUCAGAUGGGAACAGAAAAUGUUCCUCCACAAAUGAAUAAAAUGGUGCCUGGACAAAUACAACAAAAUAUGCAGUUUCAGAUGCAGAAUCAGUUACCAGAUCAAAUAUAGUAUCAUAAUACGGGACCAAUAGUCAGUAUACAGACUAGUACACCGCAACAAUUGAGUCAAAUUGACUCUGGACAAUUAGGUCGUGGUCAGAUGCAGCAGCAGUUAAACCAUAUUCAAAGAAAGCUGGGUGAAAUGAUGAAUACUGGAUUUCAUAGCCCACAUAACGUUACGCCGAAUCAAUUUUUGAGACAGAGUCCAUCUCCUUCAGCUCCAAGCUUAGCUCGUUUAUUGGAUACAUUAAACUAUAUGUAUGGACCGUCUCCAAAUAAAUCGUAAAAUAAUCCUGAAAGUGUAGACUCAACACAAAGUCCUCAGCAAGAAAAUCAGGUUUACAGAGAUAAAGUCAAACAGCUAAGCAAAUAAAUAGAGAAGAAUGAUUGUCAAGAUGAGCAGUGAAGGAAAUGUCGACUCGGCAAGAUCAAGAAACUGUUGAAAAUUCUAUCAAGUCCCAAUAAACGUAUGCCAUUGGAUAUAAUGCGAAGUUGUCCUGGAAAAAUUAGACUUCAAGAGAGAAGAUUGUAAUGUAAUAAGUGACGAUGUUGGAGGAACAUCAAAUUUUCAGUCCGCUAUUAGAAGCUAAGCAAUAUUAUCACUUGUGUCAUUACAAGGGAGGAUCAUAUCAACAUUAUUACUGGAACUCGCAGAAGUUUUGGCAGUAGCAUUAUCAUCAUCCAAUAUAUUAGAGUUAAUGUCAAAGGGAAAUAUAAGGUCACCGUUGAUAACAAUACCUGUCUCAGAAUUAUUGCCACUGCCAUUGAGGUUAACAAAUAAUUCAUUGUUAUCAGAAUUAUGACUAUUUAUAGCAUUGAUAUUAUUAUCGUCUAAAAAUUUACAGCCUUUGUCAUUCCCAUAAGACAAUACAUCAUCAAAAUUGAUAUUCGUAGAAUUGUUGAUAUCGAUAAUAUUAUCUAGUAUACUAAGAUCAUUGCCAUUGCAUAUGUUAUCAUUAACGUUCAUGGAAUAGUUAACAUCUCUCACUUCACAACUAUUUGGUUCAACAUUAGCUACAAAAUCAAUGCUAGAAUUUUUCUCAUUGUCCAUCAUGAUAUGAUUACCAUUGUUGUAGGAAGAUGUAUUAUCAGAAGUGUUUCCAUUCAUGGAAUUUGUGGCAUUAAUAUCAUCAACCCUUUCUAAAUUAUUGCCCUUAUCAAAGGAAAAUGUUACGUUCAGAUUUCCUGUCUUUUCUCUAUUAUCUUUAUUAUCGCAAUUAUUGAUAAACGCUAUCUUAUCAGAGUCAGUACGUAUCACAGGAUUACUAAUGUUACUCUCACCAUCGUUUACUGUAUUGCAUAUGUUAUCAUUAACGUUCAUGGAAUAGUUAACAUCUCUCACUUCACUACUAUUUGGUUCAACAUUAGCUAUAAAAUCAAUGCUAGAAUUUUUCUCAUUGUCCAUCAUGAUAUGAUUACCAUUGUUGUAGGAAGAUGUAUUAUCAGAAAUGUUUCCAUUCAUGGAAUUUGUGGCAUUAAUAUCAUCAACCCUUUCUAAAUUAUUGCUCCUAUCAAAA
rnacentral:lncRNA from 13 species